AAGCUCUUUAAGUGCAUAGGUAGUUUAUGAAGAGCUGGACUGGCUUCCUUUUUAUCCGGGUAUCACCAGCAUUACAAAACAGACACACACACAUAAAAGUCAAGAUGAAGGUCCCCCAAAUGCUGAAGCAGUACCCCAGGCAUUUUAUGUUUGUUCUCAUUGGAUUCAGAGCUUUAUCAAAUAUAGUACAUGGCUAGAAAGCCCGUCAAAUGUGAAAGCAGCUGAAUUUUUGUCAAUAGGACACAAGAAGUUGAUGCAGUCCAUGGAAGAACUUGGGAUGAAAAUGAAGAAGACAUUAGAAAAAGAGAUCAAGAAAAUAGUUGACAGACAGAGAUCUGCAGUUAAGUCAAUUGCAAAAGAUUCAGAUUCAUUUGAUGAGGUAUGUUUCCCUGCUUCAAAAUU